rnacentral:rRNA from 1 species
UACAGAGGGUGCGAGCGUUGCUCGGAAUCACUGGGCGUAAAGGGUGCGUAGGCGGGUCUUUAAGUCAGGGGUGAAAUCCUGGAGCUCAACUCCAGAACUGCCUUUGAUACUGAAGAUCUUGAGUCCGGGAGAGGUGAGUGGAACUGCGAGUGUAGAGGUGAAAUUCGUAGAUAUUCGCAAGAACACCAGUGGCGAAGGCGGCUCACUGGCCCGGUACUGACGCUGAGGCACGAAAGCGUGGGGAGCAAACAGG